CCUACGGGAGGCAGCAGUGAGGAAUAUUGGUCAAUGGGCGCGAGCCUGAACCAGCCAAGUAGCGUGAAGGAUGACUGCCCUACGGGUUGUAACCUUCUUUUAUAAAGGAAUAAAGUGAGGCACGUGUGCCUUUUUGUAUGUCUUUUAUGAAUAAGGAUCGGCUAACUCCGUGCCAGCAGCCGCGGUAAUACGGAGGAACCGAGCGUUAUCCGGAUUUAGUGGGUUUAAAGGGAGCGUAGAUGGGUUGUUAAGUCAGUUGUGAAAGUUUGCGGCUCAACCGUAAAAUUGCAAUUGAUACUGGAAGGCUUGAGUAAAGUUGAGGUAGGCGGAAUUCGUGGUGUAGCGGUGAAAUGCUUAGAGAUCACGAAGAACUCCGAUUGCGAAGGCAGCUUACUAAACUGCCACUGACAUUGAUGCUCGAAAGUGUGGGUAUCAAACAGGAUUAGAUACCCGAGUAGUC
rnacentral:rRNA from 1 species